CCUACGGGAGGCUGCAGUGAGGAAUAUUGGUCAAUGGACGAGAGUCUGAACCAGCCAAGUAGCGUGAAGGAUGACUGCCCUAUGGGUUGUAAACUUCUUUUAUAUGGGAAUAAAACGUUCCACGUGUGGGAUUUUGUAUGUACCAUAUGAAUAAGGAUCGGCUAACUCCGUGCCAGCAGCCGCGGUAAUAUGGAGGAUCCGAGCGUUAUCCGGAUUUAUUGGGUUUAAAGGGAGCGUAGGUGGAUUGUUAAGUCAGUUGUGAAAGUUUGCGGCUCAACCGUAAAAUUGCAGUUGAAACUGGCAGUCUUGAGUACAGUAGAGGUGGGCGGAAUUCGUGGUGUAGCGGUGAAAUGCUUAGAUAUCACGAAGAACUCCGAUUGCGAAGGCAGUUCACUGGACUGCAACUGACACUGAGGCUCGAAAGUGUGGGUAUCAAACAGGAUUAGAUACCCGGGUAGUC
rnacentral:rRNA from 1 species